GCGGAGCUGUUCUAACCUGGCAUGAAGCGUCCUUGCCAUGGACGAAAUCCGAGUUCAAAUCUCGGGCUCCGCA
rnacentral:tRNA from 2 species